rnacentral:rRNA from 1 species
GAUGAACGCUGGCGGCGUGCCUAAUACAUGCAAGUCGAGCGAACGGACGAGAAGCUUGCUUCUCUGAUGUUAGCGGCGGACGGGUGAGUAACACGUGGAUAACCUACCUAUAAGACUGGGAUAACUUCGGGAAGCCGGAGCUAAUACCGGAUAAUAUUUUGAACCGCAUGGUUCAAAAGUGAAAGACGGUCUUGCUGUCACUUAUAGAUUGAUCCGCGCUGCAUUAGCUAGUUGGUAAGGUAACGGCUUACCAAGGCAACGAUGCAUAGCCGACCUGAGAGGGUGAUCGGCCACACUGGAACUGAGACACGGUCCAGACUCCUACGGGAGGCAGCAGUAGGGAAUCUUCCGCAAUGGGCGAAAGCCUGACGGAGCAAAGCCGCGUGAGUGAUGAAGGUCUUCGGAUCGUAAAACUCUGUUAUUAGGGAAGAACAUAUGUGUAAGUAACUGUGAACAUCUUGACGGUACCUAAUCAGAAAGCCACGGCUAACUACGUG